UACGGGGGGGGCAAGCGUUGUUCGGAAUUACUGGGCGUAAAGGGCUCGUAGGUGGCCAACUAAGUCAGACGUGAAAUCCCUCGGCUUAACCGGGGAACUGCGUCUGAUACUGGAUGGCUUGAGUUUGGGAGAGGGAUGCGGAAUUCCAGGUGUAGCGGUGAAAUGCGUAGAUAUCUGGAGGAACACCGGUGGCGAAGGCGGCAUCCUGGACCGACACUGACGCUGAGGAGCGAAAGCCAGGGGAGCAAACGGG
rnacentral:rRNA from 1 species